rnacentral:rRNA from 1 species
AUUGAACGCUGGCGGCAGGCCUAACACAUGCAAGUCGAGCGGUUGAGGUAGCUUGCUACCGAUGCAGCGGCGGACGGGUGAGUAAUACAUGGGAAUCUGCCUGGUAGUGGGGGACAACGUUUCGAAAGGAACGCUAAUACCGCAUACGCCCUACGGGGGAAAGGGGGGGAUCUUCGGACCUCUCGCUAUCAGAUGAGCCCAUGUCGGAUUAGCUUGUUGGUGAGGUAAAGGCUCACCAAGGCGACGAUCCGUAACUGGUCUGAGAGGAUGAUCAGUCACACUGGAACUGAGACACGGUCCAGACUCCUACGGGAGGCAGCAGUGGGGAAUAUUGGACAAUGGGCGCAAGCCUGAUCCAGCCAUGCCGCGUGUGUGAAGAAGGCCUUAGGGUUGUAAAGCACUUUCAGUGGGGAGAAAGGUCAUUCACCUAAUACGUGAGUGAAUUGAUGUUACCCACAGAAGAAGCACCGGCUAACUCCGUGCCAGCCGCCGCCGUAA